GUUUAAAUAGCUUAAAUUUAAAGUUUUUUAUUGAAGAUAAAAAGAUGAUAUUUUAUAUCUUUAAACA
rnacentral:tRNA from 1 species